rnacentral:rRNA from 1 species
CCUACGGGAGGCAGCAGUGAGGAAUAUUGGUCAAUGGCCGGAAGGCUGAACCAGCCAUGCCGCGUGAAGGUCAGUGCCCUAUGGGCGUUAAACUUCUUUUGUGCGGGAGCAAUAAUGGUCACGUGUGGCCAGACGAGAGUACCGUACGAAUAAGCAUCGGCUAACUCCGUGCCAGCAGCCGCGGUAAUACUGGGGAUGCAAGGGUUAUCCGGAUUUAUUGGGUUUAAAGGGUGCGUAGGCUGUGAGGUAAGUCAGCGGUGAAAUGCCCGCGCUCAACGGGGUGAAGUGCCAUUGAUACUGCCUUGCUGGAAUGCGGAUGCCGUGGGAGGAAUGUGUGGUGUAGCGGUGAAAUGCAUAGAUAUCACACAGAACACCGAUUGCGAAGGCAGCUCACGAAUCCGCGAUUGACGCUGAUGCACGAAAGCGUGGGUAUCAAACAGGAUUAGAUACCCGAGUAGUC